rnacentral:rRNA from 1 species
GGCGAAGGCGCAGCGAAAGCGAGUCUGAACAGGGCGUUCAGUCCGCUGCUUUAGACCCGAAACCAGGUGAUCUAGCCAUGCGCAGGAUGAAGGUGCGGUAACACGCACUGGAGGUCCGAACCAGUGCCCGUUGAAAAGGUCUUGGAUGACGUGUGGUUAGGGGUGAAAGGCCAAUCAAACCUGGACAUAGCUGGUUCUCCGCGAAAGCUAUUUAGGUAGCGCCUCGAAUGAAUACCGUGCGGGGUAGAGCACUGGAUGGGCUAGGGCCGCCCACAGCGGUACCGCACUCAACCAAACUCCGAAUACGCACGAGUACUGUUCGGGAGACACACGGCGGGUGCUAACGUCCGUCGUGAAGAGGGCAACAACCCUGACCGACAGCUAAGGCCCCCAAUUCGUGGCUAAGUGGGAAAGGAUGUGGGACUCCCAAAACAACCAGGAGGUUGGCUUAGAAGCAGCCAUCCUUUAAAGAAAGCGUAACAGCUCACUGGUCUAGCCAAGGGGUCCUGCGCCGAAAAUGUAACGGGGCUCAAGCCACGAGCCGAAGCUUCGGGUGCACGCAAGUGCGCGGUAGCGGAGCGUUCCCUAGGCUGAUGAAGGGAUACUCGUGAGAGAUCCUGGAGGUAUGGGAAGUGCGAAUGCUGACAUGAGUAACGACAAAGAGUGUGAAAGACACUCUCGCCGAAAGUCCAAGGGUUCCUGCGUAAAGUUAAUCUGCGCAGGGUCAGCCGGCCCCUAAGGCGAGGCCGAAAGGCGUAGUCGAUGGGAAUGGGGCGAAUAUUCCCCAGCCAGUGGAUGGUGACGGAUGCCGUAUAUCGUUCGAGCUUAUCGGAUUGCUCGGGCGGUGAAGGGGUCCCAGGAAACAGCCUCCACAUCAGACCGUACCCGAAACCGACACAGGUGGACUGGUAGAGCAUACCAAGGCGCUUG